UGGGGUUAAAAAAGCAUUUUUGUCCGGAAAAAAAUCCUUCGGGGUUAAUCCCUCGGGGGGAUGACGGUACCGGAAGAAUAAGCACCGGCAACUACGUGCCAGCAGCCGCGGUAAUACGUAGGGUGCGAGCGUUAAUCGGAAUUACUGGGCGUAAAGCGUGCGCAGGCGGUUCGCUAAGACCGAUGUGAAAUCCCCGGGCUUAACCUGGGAACUGCAUUGGUGACUGGCGAGCUAGAGUGUGGCAGAGGGGGGUAGAAUUCCACGUGUAGCAGUGAAAUGCGUAGAGAUGUGGAGGAAUACCGAUGGCGAAGGCAGCCCCCUGGGCUAACACUGACGCUCAUGCACGAAAGCGUGGGGAGCAAACAGGAUUAGAUACCCUGGUAGUCCACGCCCUAAACGAUGUCAACUAGUUGUUGGGGAUUCAUUUCCUUAGUAACGUAGCUAACGCGUGAAGUUGACCGCCUGGGGAGUACGGUCGCAAGAUUAAAACUCAAAGGAAUUGACGGGGACCCGCACAAGCGGUGGAUGAUGUGGAUUAAUUCGAUGCAACGCGAAAAACCUUACCUACCCUUGACAUGGUCGGAAUCCUGCUG
rnacentral:rRNA from 1 species